UGGCUGCACUCCCCGCCACUCUGCGGCGCCACUGCUUGUUAACCCUUUGAGUCACCCUUGCUACGUGGGUUCCCACAGGUAGCUAAGCCCCCGCAGCGAGGCCAAGGAUGCCAGCUUGAAGGAUCUUCCGGGGGCCCCUGGGGCUUCUGCAUUCAGAACUUUGGGUGAUUAGUAGAGCCAGGAAAAACUGGGGGUGGCAGGUGAUGAUACACAGUUACACACGUAAGGCCCAUGUUUUCAGACUUUGUGACCUAGCAGAGAAAUUAUAUCUCAGUAACCGCAUCUUCAGUUAGCUUGUCUGCAUAACAGAAGGAAGAAGUAAAAAAAUGCCUAGCAGGCUGCUGAAGAGGCUGUCCUCUACUAGACUGUUCUAGAAACUGCAGCUUCCCAAGUAUGCUUGACCGCCAAAGCUUUUCUUAUCUUUAUUGGUUGGGCCCCACAGUGUACACGUUGUCAUGGGGACUCAGGCGGCAUUUCAGAUCCACUAUCAUUUUGAAUCUUUAAAGUACUUGGAAAGACGCUUAUUUUUAAGUGUAUGGACUCACUAUAACGGCCUGAGAUCAGCAAGGUAGAAACUUCACUCCAGGCUACAGCAGCCAAGAAUAUAGGACUGCCUCUCCCCCAACUGGAAGCAUUAUUCUCAGGAGGAGUAAAACUGCAUUUCUCAUUCUGCCCCCAGCUACUGGUUGCUGAGGCUGUUCCAGGUAACUGUGGUCAAGAGCACCACAACCCACGAGUAGACUUCAGAGAAUUAUCCAGCCAUUCUUGCUUUGUUCCUGAUCUUACAGGGAAAAGUUCUUGUUUCUCACUGAUACAGGAAGUACGUGUGCAGAUUUGUCACAUGGUUAUAUUGCAUGAAGCUGAGGUUUGUGGUAUGGAUCCUGUCACCAGGGAGUGAGCAUAGUAGCCAAUAG